CUUUGAUAAAGAUUAGAGAAGAUAAUCGACUGUGGAUGCAUGAUUGGUUAAGAGAUAUUGGAAGAAAUCUUAUACAACAAAGAAGUGGUUGGCAACCAGAGAAGCAACGAUGGGUGUGGACUCAUGCACAAGCAUUGGAAAUUCUGGAGAAAAUGCAGAUGGGAGGAGUUCAUGGAAUUGAAAGUAUCGAAGCAAUAUGUCUCAAGCUUGAUGAAAUGUCUCAAUACUCCUUGAUUAAAGAAUGCCUAGCAAGUCUUUCAAAUCUAAGGUUCCUUCAAGUGGAUAGCAAAGACUUUGAUGAUAUCACAAAGUCUAUCCUUACUCAAGUGAGUGGUUUUCUAUGUUACCAGUGCCCAAAUUUUGUUGAAACCACAUUUAGCAGGCUUAUCCUUCCGGAGUUGAGAUGGCUUUCAUGGAGAUACUUUCCUCUGGCUUUUAAGCUGACCAAUUUCUCCAUGAGGAGGCUACUAAUCCUUGAUCUGUCAAUGAGUAGAGUCACUGAAAAAUGGGAUGGAUAGAGCCACAUCAAGUUGGCUAAGAAUUUGAAGGUCCUAAAUCUGACUGGAUGCAUGAAGUUGCGUAAAACCCCAAACUUGUCUUUUCAUGUGAAUUUAGAGCGACUAAUCCUCGAAAGUUGUGAGAAUUUGGUUCAAAUUCAUACAUCAAUUAGUCUGCUUAAGAAGUUAGUCUUCUUAAACUUGAAGGAUUGUAAUAAUCUUCGAGAGCUACCAAAUGAGAUGGGGGCACUAGAAUCUUUGAGGGAACUUCUUCUUGACUCUACAGCUAUAGAAGAGAUUCCUGAAUGGAGAAGGAUGAAAAAACUAGAAAUUCUUAGCUUGGACAGGUGUGCAUUAUUGAACAAGUUCAGUUUCAUUGGUUGCAUAGCUGCAGCAACGACCCUCUCAUUAGUGGAUAGCCACUUAACUCAAUUGCCUAAGUCGAUUGAAAAUUUCAACUCCCUAAUUCAGUUGAAUCUAUCAAGUACAAAUAUGCGGGAGUUACCUGAUGUAACUGGGAACAUGAAGAAUUUGAAAGUUCUAAAGAUGAG